GUGACUGGGGCGGUGCUACAGGGCCUUCUGGGCAUUGGGGAAGCCGGGUCCGGGAGAGAGUGAGCAUGGGGACUCCUGCGGGCGCCGGGACCCGUCCCACGGGCGCUGGAACUGUUGAAGGCGUGGGGAUCCCUCCGGGCCUGCAGACUGACUACGAGACGCUGCUCAGCCGCUUCCAAGAGAUGGACAGCGUGCGCUUCGAGGACUUCACGGAGCUCUGGCGCAGCAUGAAGUUCGCGACCAUCUUCUGUGGCAAAAUGAGGAAUUUAAAAAAGAACAUGUUUACAAAGGAAGCUUUAGCUUUGGCGUGGCGCUACUUUUUGCCUCCACACACGUUCCAGAUCAGAGUUGGCGCUUUGUAUCUUCUGUACGGGUUGUACAACACACAGCUGUGCCAGCCGAAACAAAAGAUCCGAGUUGCCUUGAAGGACUGGGAUGAAGUCAUCAGGUUUCAGCAAGACUUGAUGAACGCACAGCAUUUCGACGCGGCUUUUGUUUUCAGGAAGCUUCGGCUGGACAGAGCCUUCCACUUCACAGCUAUGCCCAAGCUGCUUUCGUGUAGAAUGAAGAAAAAAGUUCAACAAACUGAAGUGACACAGAAAUUUAAGGACCCGAAUGAUCGUGUAAUGAAACUUAUCACUUCUGAUGUAUUAGAGGAAAUGCUGAAUGUUCACGAUCAUUAUCAAAAUAUGAAGCAUGCUAUUUCAGCAGACAAGUCCAUGCCAGACAGAGCUCUCAGUCUGGUAAAGGAGGACUUUUUUGAGAACAUUAAGAACAUAGUUUUGGAGCAUCAGGAGUGGCACAAGGAACGGAAGAAUCCCUCCUUAAAACCCAAACUUAAAGAUGGAGAAGAGAACGGUGAAGGCUCUUCAGAGGAGCCAGAGAGAUGUGAGAGAGCUGUGUCUUUAGCGAAAAUAAAAGCGAAAGCCUUUUCAGCUGUUGUCCCGGUGUCCAAGUCCAGGAGGCAUCGCCAGUCCAAGCUUGACUCUUCUGACUCUGACUCUGGGUCUGGACAAGUGCAAGGCAGAGCAGCUAAGAGAAAGAGAACCAGAGAACCAGCAGGACCAGCAGGAAGGAAGAGAUCUUCCAGAAGCAAAGGUAUUUUGCCUUCAUCUGUUCCAUAUGUGUGCAGUGCCUGCGAAGGCUGGAAGAGGGCAUCAGGUUCCUGGAGCUAAGGAUGGUUGUGAGCCUUUCUGUGGGGCCUGGGAACUGACUGGACACUGGAAGAGCAGUCCAUGCUCCCCCGAUCAGUUGAGUAACGCUCCGAAUGAACGUAAGGAAGAGAAGUCGUUACACCUGAGUAUGCCUAUUAUUACAGAGGAGGAGGAGGAGGACAUGGGUGGCGUCAGAAAAGCAGCCUGCAAGCAGUGAUGCAGUAUCCGGAUGUGGACGCCUGCCAGGAAUUCUGCUGGUGUGACCGCCCGCCCGCCUGCCCGAGAAGCUGCUUGCAGGCCUCUGCCCGGCUGUGCUCUCCGUCCUGGAUGCUCUUCUUCUAGGAAUCUGUUUUCUUUUUCUUCUGACGCCCCUCUCCCCAUUUCCUUUCUACUUUUCAUUGAUGAGGACUAUUUCUCUAUCAUGUCUUCCUAAGGUUGUGUUUCUGUGUAUUGUAUUUAAUGAUGGUUAUUUGUGUGAUAGUUACUGCAUUUAGCUGUGAGAGCCAGAAGGAUCAGAAUACUUGCGUGUGUGUUGUGUUUCUAGGUUUCACUGUCGUGGAAUCAGACUCUUCACUUUCUCUUUGCACGAGCCUAGACAGUUCAGUGUUGCUGCCCUGGGGUCGUGCUAGUUGUAUGGAAGGCAGGCAUAUGGAAUUCAAGCGGAGUAAUUGUGAAGGAGGGUUCAGGGUGAGUGAGGUCUCCUCUCAUCGGCAUCUCAGUAAGACUGGAGUCCUGUCGUCUCUUUGGAGGUCAGAGGCUCUCAACUGCAGUUUCAUUUGAGGAAAUUCCGCAUGUGUGUCAGCAAUGAUUUAUUUUUUCUCUUAAAUUGUAAGUUAGCAAUCAUUUCCGUCUAAUUUUUCUUAAGUAUUGAGAUACUUGGGUCACUGGGCGUGGUGGCACACACCUAUAACUUUAGCACUUGGAGGAGGUCCACUUUGAGGACGGCCUGGGCGCUAUACUCUGAGAUCAAGUCUCAAUAAACAAACCUUUAAUCCUAGCGUUCAGGAAGCUGAAACAGGAGGAUUACAAGUGUGAGGACUAACUGGGUCACAUAGCAAGUUCUAGCCCAACCUGAACCAUGUUGUAGCUUUUAUUAUAUAUGUAUCUUUACAUUUUAAUAUAUAUUAUGCAUUUUAAUGUCUGUGUGUGCGUGGUGUGUGUGUGUGUGCGUGCGUGUGUGAGUGCGCAUUAUUUAUCUACCUGUUUCCUUCUUGGGUCUUGGCUGUGGGACAUUAUUGGUUGGGUUAGUCUGUUUUAAAUAUAUGCAGGUAAAAUGUGUAUUAUUAUAUAAACCUUUCAUUUAGAUGUCAGUAUUUUAAUCCAUGGAGUUCUUAACCUUGUAUCCACAGAGUUCACUGCGCCCAAGAGGAAGAGAAAAUGCUGAACCGGGAGGCUGGUGGAGUUUUAAAUUUUGAGCUUUCCAACAGAAGAAAGGUGUCAUGUGUUCUAAGCAGGAAGUAGCCAGUGAAGACUGGAUCUGAGAACAAGCUCAUUUCUGUGAGAUGGAAGAGCAUGCCAUAGGCCAAGAGUUGAGUAAAGGUUUACUCUGAAGAUUAAUUUUAACAUUUUUGUUAAUAUUGCAAUUUUAACAAAUUACAUUGUAGUUUGUUACAGAAUAGAUUGUAAAUGUGUUAAACUUGUUAGACUUGUUAGGGGUCUGUAUGAGUGGAGAUAGAGUUUCUAUUGCCUUCAGAAUGUAAUAGAAAGAAUUACAUAUUUGUGAGUUAGUACUCUUUCCUGAAAGUUUUUGUGCUGUACUAAUGCAUUUAUAUAUAAAUGAUUCAUACCUGUCACCUAGCAACGGAUUUGGCUGGGGUUUUUGUUGAAUAUUUUGUGUGUUAUGGUUAAGUGCAAUAAAAAUUUUGCCCCCUUGUUUUAUCUUCUAGUGUGUGAAAUUUUCAUGGCCAAUAACUUGACUGAUACCUUAGUAAGUUACGGCUGCCUUCGUGCUUACGAUGUACCCUUACUUCCUCAUUGAUUUGGACAGGGUCUGCCUGUGUAUGCUAGGCUGGCCUUGAACUCUCCAUGCGAGUACUGCCUUGCUCGGCCUCCCCACUGCUGGGAUUAUAGAUAAUGCACCGCCGGGCCUCACUCCUUACCCUCUGUAGUAUUUGCUUUAAAGUUCCCAUUGGUCUACUGUAUAUGAAUGCAUAGGUACCUGUGUGUGUGUCCUUGUCUACACAUAAGAUUAAUUAAUACACUGUUUAAUGCUUAUGUACUGUCUAAUAGGCCCAUAGGAGCAGUCAUGUAGAUUCUGAAACGUGUCUUUGACACAGAACUUUUGUAAAUCACAGAAAAGAUGUCUCUAGUCACGUGUGUGCUGCUGUUUUAAUUUCACACCCCUGGAGUUUUAAGUGGAGAUGGCUUUAGCUGUGCUUGAAAGCUGCCAACACACGGCCUCUGUGUUGUGAGGCUAAUGCAGCCUGACAUAUAGUUAAUUAUUAAGGCUCAAAGGCUGGCUUGAAGAGGUAAUUUCCAAGUCUGAUAUGAUUGAAAAUGUAUAUCUUAGGUAUGUAAUAUGUUAAGACCAAAAUACUGAUGUUGGCUUGGAUAAUACUUGACAUCGUUAUCCUGUUAGCUACUAAAAAGCAGUUGUUUCCUGUGUCUGACUUCAGCUCUGUCCGAUAAUGGGUUGGACAUUACAGUGUGAACAUGGGCCAGAGCUGCUGGGCUGCAACACCAGAGCUUGGUUAGUAAUAUGUAGCUGAGUGGAUUAGCAUUGUACAGCUGAAACGCUAUGUACCUGAGUCGUAAUCUAUUUUUCACAAAGCGCUUAUAAAAGACCAUGGUGUCAUUUCACAGACAAAGGGAUGGUGAGUAGCAAACAGUGUUGUCAUAGUAACCGAAAGUUUGUGUUUGCCCAGCUCCCUGAGUUGAUCAGGCUAACCUGUGGUUCACUCCACAGCUGAAGGGAACCCUCAUUACCUUGUGUCAAUUUUAAUUAGGUAUAAUGAAUACCAUCUUCUCAGACUACCUUGGGUAUAGUGAAAGACUGGUACCUCUGUCUGUUUAUCUGUCUACUUACGUGUCUACCUAUGUCUUGAGAAAAUACCUUAAAAACAAACUUUGCACUGAAAGUUACUUUUAUUUUUCUCAGGUUAGCUUUGGAAAAUAACUGUAGUUACUAAUGCCUUCCUUACCCUUCAUUCUUGAAUUAAAUUACAGUUUGAAGAAGGCUUACUUUUUAAAUGGCUUAGAAAGAACUCUGUGGGUGUUAAAACUAUUCACAUUUUCAUUUAUCUUUUGAGCGACUAUGUAGUAAUUUUCAUUGCACAUUUUUCUUAUUCUCUGUGUUAAUAUAAAUGUCAAAGCCCAGACUUGAGGUUGUAUAAUCCCUUUUAUGUGAUAUUUUUAAAUGUCUGAAUUAUUCAUUCUACUGUGCUGUGUAUUACAGGUCUGAAUUUUUAAGAGACAUUCAAGCAGGCUCCUUUCAGUUGCAAGAAACAAAAGCAUACUCCCACUAUCGUAAAUGCUGGGAGCUUACUGGAAGAUUAUGGUUAAAUAAGUAAGGCACUCAUCAAAGACAGCUUCCUCAAGGGUUUGGGAAUUAGCUAUAGGCCUCUCUUAACACCAAAUGAUGCUCUUAGCUAGGGUGGAGAUCCAAAUCAGUUGUGUCCCAUGUACCAGAGGGCAUGGCAGAUGACAGAGAAGGACCCAUCUGUGGCAGCUUUCCUCAGCAAAGGUGAGAAAGGUCAGGCCUUUACAGUCUCACGGGUUUCUCAGUGUAGUCGUGGUUUGACAAAAUGCAGUGUCAGCCUUGCACCUUCAGGAUGUAGUUAAAGGGACACGCUAUUCCCUUCACAGGUAAGUCACUGCACAGUGGUGAAGGACCUCAGCUCUGGGGCAGGCUGGGUUUGCUCUGGCAUUUAAUAAUUUAUGCCAUCUGUAAUAAUUUGGGGCUGCAUAUACUGUAACACAUUAAUAGACUGGCAGAGGCUUCACCAGUGAAUGUUUUACACCCAGUCCUUUGUUACAGUUGGCAAGUUGCCCAUGCUGGACUUGGGAUUCACUGUGUAGCCCAGGCACGGCUUGAACCUUCUAUCCUCCUGUCUCACUUUCCCAAGUAGGUGGGACUACAGACUGCCACCUAGCAACAGUCCUGUGUUUACUCCCGUAAAUCGAACCCACUGCUCUUUAUUCCUCUGGGAAAGCCGUUGGGAGUAGAUCUCGGAUGGUUCGUUUUCAGUCUGAAGAAAUUAAUACUGAUUUAUUUAUAUAUAUAUCAGCACGGUUGCAGACCAGUUCUAUCAUAUUUUGUUUGUCUGAAAAAAUAUCUUCAUUUCUGAAUGAAAUUGUUUUUGCAAGAUGUAGAAUUCUAGUUGUUUCAGCUCUUUCCCCCUUUCUGUCAACACUUGCAAGACUUUUUUCACUCCAUCAUCAUCAGCCUGCUUUGUCUCUGGCAGGAAAUUAGAAUUUGUUCCUCCAGUCCCUCGUGUACCUCAAUCUUUUUUUCUUUGUGUUAUAUUUUUGUCUGUCUGUCUGUCUGUCUGUCUGUCUGUCUGUCUGUCUAUUUGAUGGUGGGACCCAUGGCCUUCAUAUACUAACCACACGCUCUACCAGAAGUUCCUCCAGGCCCUCCCUGGCUGCCUGCAGGCUUUGUUGUUUGUUAUUCAGUCUGAUACAGGUCUGGUGUGGUUGGCUUUUCUAACCCAUGAUGCAUUCUGCACUCUCCUCACUUGCUUCUCUCUCUGGGACUUGAGCCUUGUUUGCUAAUUACUUUGUACUCUCUCUUGGGUUGUAUUUUGUUUUCUCCAAUAAUACUUCUUCCAUUGCCUCAGAGUGCCUUUUGAUUUCAAGUUCACCAUCUUUUCUUCUCUUGUAUCCAAUCUGCUCUUGAUUUUCUCCGAUGACUUUUCAUCUGGAAGCACCGAUUGUUGGUUCUGAUUUCUCCUUGUCCUUUCCAUCUUCAUUGAAAUAGUUCCUUUGUCACCUUCUCUAACCAUUUGUCUUUAUGUAGUUGGUGGGGUGGGGGUUGAGACAGGGUCCCUCUGUCUGUCUGUCUGUCUGUCUGUCUAAAAAAAAACUGCUGUUCUGGAACUUGCUGGGUAGACCAGGCUAUCCUGAAACAGAGAUCCACCUGUGUCCAGCUCUGGGAUUAAAGGUGUGUGCCACCACACUCCGUUGUCACUUUUUAAAAAUAUGGCACUUUUACUGGAACGCAGAGUAUUUGUUACAUGAAUAUAUCCUAGCAGGAUUUGAACUUUCUACGCAGGAGCCUCGUGAGUCUGAAGCUGCCGAAAACUCUGCUUGGUACUUUGUGAUGUCAGCCACUUAUUAGCCCUAGACUCACUGUGUGAUGCCAGAGAGAUGAGGGGAAUUUAUACUCAGGUUUGGGGUGGUGUUGCUGGUGGCUCUUUUCAGAGAUUUCCAACCCAGCUGAUAAUCAGAGAAAGAAAACUAGUUCAUAAGAUGACAUAAACCCUUUCUUCCAGGUUGCUUUUGAUCAUGAUCAUUAUUGCAGUGGUAGAAGCAAACUGGGAAGCCUUGUUACCAGAGAAUUAGAGUAUCAUGUUAGCCUCAGCCUUUGAGAGAAGGCGAUGAACCGGAGUUGUUUAUGUAAAUGUAAUUUUAAGUGAUGUGAUUUUGCUAGAGCUUCAGCAGUUGCUAACCGUUUGUUAAAGGCUUUAGGUGGCUGGUUUGUCUUAGUUUCCUGCAAUGUGGUUGGUGCAUAGCAUCCCUUGGUAGCAUCGUUAGGCUGGCAAGGGCUUCACCAGUGAAUGUUUUAAAACCAUAAAGCAUAGUUAGCUGAGCUUACGGUCUUUGUAAACUUCAACUGUUUCCUUCCACUAACAGUGCAAGAAGAUACUUUGUGUAUUGUAUUAAAAAAUGAAAUACCCUGUCUUUUAAAAAACACGGUAUAUCUAGAAAAUCAUCUUGUUUGCAAUUUGAUAGGAACCAAUCAAAAGAUUUCAUUUGUCUUCAGUGUGUAACAAAACCUUUUAUUACCAGCGAAGUGAUCUAUAUGUAUGUGCUACCAGUGAAUAACUCUUAUUAUUUUUUUCCAUGUGCUUUCUUAGAUUUACAAAUAUGAUUUAUUCCCACGACUGCAGUCUACAGCGCUAGAACAAAUGUCUCUGUAAUGUUUCUGGGUCUGUGUAAUUAGGAUUUAAUUGCUUUGGAGAGGAAAUGGGAGUGUAGACUGUCUCCUUGGGGCUGUAUUACAGAAUUUCAUUUUGUUUUAUUCUUUGGUGGAUUUAUUUUUUCCCUGAUAUUAACAUUAAUAAAGUGAGCAGAGGAUUCUAACCAAUUGUGCUGGCUGGAUGGCUACAGGAAAUGAGACAGGGCAGGUGUGGGCUUCCUGUAAGACCUUGUCGAGCCCAGAACUUGUGGCACCAGAGGGAGGGUCUAGGUCCAGCAGGGUCAUAGUUCUAGCCACUUAGUUUUAAAUUUAUAUUUUAUGUAUUUUAUAUGUUAAUGUAAAAUAUAAAAUUAAAAUUUAAUUUAUAUUUAAAAUUUUGUUUUUAUUUUUGAGAGCUUUAUUAAUGAGAUAUCUUUGAUAGUGUUCUGUGAUCAUUUUCUGUAUUUCAUUAAAAGAUUCAAGCAGAGGUA